AUUGAACGCUGGCGGCAUGCCUUACACAUGCAAGUCGAACGGCAGCGGGGACUUCGGUCCGCCGGCGAGUGGCGAACGGGUGAGUAAUGUAUCGGAACGUACCUUUCAGUGGGGGAUAACGUAGCGAAAGUUACGCUAAUACCGCAUAUUCUCUGAGGAGGAAAGCAGGGGACCUUCGGGCCUUGUGCUGAUGGAGCGGCCGAUAUUAGAUUAGCUAGUUGGUGAGGUAAAGGCUCACAAAGGCGACGAUCUGUAGCGGGUCUGAGAGGAUGAUCCGCCACACUGGGACUGAGACACGGCCCAGAGUCCUACGGGAGGCAGCAGUGGGGAAUUUUGGACAAUGGGCGCAAGCCUGAUCCAGCCAUGCCGCGUGCAGGAUGAAGGCCUUCGGGUUGUAAACUGCUUUUGUACGGAACGAAAAGACUCUGGUUAAUACCUGGGGUCCAUGACGGUACCGUAAGAAUAAGCACCGGCUAACUACGUGCCAGCAGCCGCUGUAAGAC
rnacentral:rRNA from 1 species